AUUGAACGCUGGCGGCAUGCCUUACACAUGCAAGUCGAACGGCAGCACGGGUGCUUGCACCUGGUGGCGAGUGGCGAACGGGUGAGUAAUACAUCGGAACGUACCGUAUCGUGGGGGAUAACGCAGCGAAAGCUGUGCUAAUACCGCAUACGCCCUGAGGGGGAAAGCGGGGGAUCGCAAGACCUCGCGCGAUUAGAGCGGCCGAUGCCUGAUUAGCCUGUUGGUGGGGUAAAGCCCACCAAGGCGACGAUCAGUAGCUGGUCUGAGAGGACGAUCAGCCACACUGGGACUGAGACACGGCCCAGACUCCUACGGGAGGCAGCAGUGGGGAUUUUUGGACAAUGGGGGCAACCCUGAUCCAGCAAUGCCGCGUGAGUGAAGAAGGCCUUCGGGUCGUAAAGCUCUUUUGUCAGGGAAGAAACACCGGCUCUAACACAGUCCGGGAAUGACGGUACCUGAAGAAUAAGCACCGGCUAACUACGUGCCAGCCGCCGCUGUAA
rnacentral:rRNA from 1 species